UACAUACAGUCUACUUAAAUUUCCAAACAAAGGUCAGAUUCUUUGUUUAGAUUUGUGAUGUCUGGCCUUGACCAGAGGGUUGUGUGUGCAUGGAUUCAUCGUGUGCUGGUUAUUUAAUUUCUGUGCUUUGUGUAGGAAGCAUGUCCUUGCUUUCCAUAGUACUUGGGGCACGCUCUCAAUGGAACAUACAAAGCAGGUCUGCUCAUGUAAUCUUGGAUAGUAUAUUUCUCAUACUAUAUUUAUCCUGUUACUGCUUCGUGUUACCUGGUACCAAGUUUUGUAUUCUGUGUAGACAGUGCUUUUGCAUUUCCUCUAGAUAGCGCACCUUCUUGUAUAGUACAGUGAAGCCAAGACAGCAGGAUGACAGAUAAAGCUCUUAUUAUAACACGUUCUAAUCGUUCUAAUGUUGCAGUAUUAGUGGAGAGCAGGCUGGAGCCUCCUGCCUCCUAUUUCAAACUGUGUAUUUUAUAUUUACAGCGUACAUUUACAUACUAAUUUUAUCUAUUAAAAUUGCUUUCAAAUUAAAAGAUUUACAUAUGUUUAAACAAAAGCAUGAAAUUACAUUUGAACUCCGUAAAUGAAUUAAUUGUAUCAGCAAACUGAAUUUUUAUUCUACGUUAAGGAAGGCCAGAUUCAUUGAGAAGUUUGACCCUCACAUUUAUAAAUUAGGAAGGAAGGCAGCAAAAAAAAAAAAAAAAA
rnacentral:lncRNA from 1 species